rnacentral:lncRNA from 1 species
UUCGAUUCGAUGUUAAUUGAUGCAAUUGAUUGUUUAAUGUAGUGUAAUAGGGAGUCUAUUAAUGUUCUGGGUUGUAAAAACACAGACCCAUAACAUCAAAGUGCACGAAUUUGAAGAUUUGAGCAAGUUGAAAAAACUGAAUUCUGUGAUUUUUCAUCAAAUGUCAGGGCUUAUAACUCUUUUCUCGAUCAUGAUAUUUGGUUUUUAAAAGUUGUUAGGUGUAGCUUGUUAUGUGGUAUUUAACCUCCAAAAGGAAUCAGGUCUAUAUCCAUUGUGGAGCAAAAGUUAUUUAAGGUCAAAGUGGGUUGACCGGCAUUGACCGGCUGUUCUUUAAACCCAAAAAAAUAUUCUAAGUGUCCAGAAAAUAUUUUUUUGGCAAAUGUCAGGCCUUAUAUCUCGGUGAUCGUUAAUGAGUUUUGUGUUUUGAAAGUUGAUAUAUGUAGUCUGUUAUAUGGACUUUAAGCUCCAAAACUAAUCAGGUCCAUAUCUAUUUUGGAGUAAACGUUAUUGAAGGUCAAAGUCUAUUGACUAGCAUUGACCAGACAAUUUCUGGGCAGCCCAGAAUUUUCUAAGUGUUAUUUUUUUUGAUAAGGUUUGACCAUACUUUAUAUGCUUGAUUUAUUGUUGUUAUGAUGAUUUUAAGUGUUAGAGUUGUAGUCCUACAUGUUUUCUACACACUGGAAUUGAUAGAUCACGUAAAAGUUGCACGAUCAUCAAGUUAUAGAGGUCCAAAGUAGGCAUCUCGAACUGUUCUUCGUGAAGAACAGCUUUGGUAGCUACUUUGAUGGCUGAUUUCUCCCAGAUCUGAUGUUGUUUAGUCAUGAUGUUUCUUGGUAAGUGUAGUAUUACAUGAUUAAUACAGUAUCCAAGUAUUAGAUUUCCCAGAAACGUAAUGGAUUGAGAAUUAUUCAUAGUCAAACUAGG